AUCAAUUUUCGAUAUUCCGCAAUGAAAUCGUUUUCAUAUUCUAACAUUUUAGAGCUACAACUUGUGUAAAGAGCUAUAGCUAAAUGGAACACCCAGUAUAGGUAUAUGAUAUAUGUAUGUGUUCGUUGCACAACUAUAUUGCUGCAACGGACAAUGCAACUUGCACACAACAACUUUUUCGUACAGAUAAAGCUAGAAUAGCGUUAACAAGGAUAUAACGAACAGUGAUAAAUAAGGAAAAUUUUCGUAGAAACAAGGCAUUAAAUCACAAUAUUGAAAUAAAAUUCAAGUUGAAUCACUAGCAUAAACUUCAAUACUUUGCCUCAGAUAGUUCGCACAGACAUUUUGUUCAAGGAUAGCAAAGAUUCUUCACGGAUACGUCAAAAAUCUUGGUGUUUAUUCUUCAAAGGUCAGGUAUUCAUCUUUAAUAUUUUUAUCUAUUUGUUAUCUUCAAUAAUCUAUUUGUCAUUUUUUCUUCCAGUCAAUUUACUAAAGAUUAUUAUUUUUUUUUAAAUUUUACUGCCAUUUUAGUAUUUCUAAAAUUACGUAUAUUAUCAUUAUGAGUAAAGUAUUUAUUUUUUCAUAUUUAAAGUAUUUUUCUAUUUUAUAGAAUCAAACUGUUCAUAAUACUAUAAUAAAUUACUUUCUUUUUAAAUUAUGCUUAAAAUAUUCGUUUUAAUUAAUAUUUUUGGAUCUUUAACCUGGUUUCUAUCAAAUGUCUAUUAUUGAUAAAACAAUACGUAAGUUAUAUUAUGUUACAUUUCUUGAUAUUUAUUAAAGAUUCACUGCUUAACUAGUUCUUAAUGAAUAGAUUCUCUAGAAUUCUUUUGUCUAACAAUGGAAACGUAUUAACGAAUUCUUAUAAAUGUGUACAAUACGUAUUUUUUCAUAGAAACUCUCAAGUUGUUGACAGUUGUCAAUCAUUUACGUGUUUGUGAAUCACCUUGAUCUCUUUAAACGACGAUCGUGAUCGGUAAGUUAAAAAGACUAAGAGGAAUGACUCUUGUCAUUACGUAUAUAUUUACGACCAUACGCGUAACGCAUCUUGAUUUCUACUUUCCUAUCUCCAGUACAUUAGGAUUCCCCGAUCAUCGCAUCGCUGUAAUUACGCCACGUUUACGAUAUCCAUAACACGUACAUGUAUAUAUAUGCUAACAUAUACGAGAACACGAUGAAUUAUGACUAAAUUAUUCGUUCUUCGAUUUCCAAUUUCCACGAUAUACAAUUAUAAAUGUAUAAUUAUCAUAAAUGUAAUAUACAAUGGCUAUAAAAACUAUUUGUACUUGUAUUUUUCAUAUUAUAUUUAUGUAUUACAUGUUACAGUUUGAUAUGAAACUUAAUAUGCUAGACCUUAAUUAAUUAAUAUGUAAAUGCUAUAAUAAGCAAAAUGAUGCAAGGAUACUUUUUAUAGUCACUGUAUAUUCUUCGUUGAAGUUGCACUGUAAAUAUUUAAUAGUAAGUGAGAUUAUUCGUCUUGUAGUACGAAAGUCUCGAGACGUGUCGAUAAUCUCACGUUUAAAAAUAUAGAGUCACCUAAAGAACAAAGUAAACACCAAGCAUGGAAACAUACGUGUGAAAGUUAACGCCGUGAAAUUUCAAGCCAGUUAUCAAAUUUGUAGCAAUGCCACUUGAGAGAUUAUCUCAAUUAGGACAAAAAGCCUCAUGCUACCUUAAGUCUCAAAGUUUUCGUGUUGGCAAUAUCGACUAAUUGAAAUAACCUACAACUGUUUUUGUUUAUAAUUGUCAUGUCGUAUUACACUGUCAAACGUCCUGUAUAACAAAAAACGGGAAGUAGUUUAGAACCACUUAUAAACCUAUAAGAUCUUAUAUAUUUUAUCAAAUGAUCCAGUAUACGAGUUCUUUUAUUUUUCUUUCACUUCUAGAAGUAUUUCUCGAAUCUUUAUUAUUUUAUCUCUGUGGUGUCGCGAUUAAGCGUUAUCGAUCACGUGUGUCGAGCACUGUGAAAUUUGAUCGGAUAAACCUGCGAAUUAAUCGAUAUUAGAAUUUUCGGUGACAUUGGCGCGAUAGAGAGCCAAACAGAUUGUGUAGAACCCAGGUUGGUCAGCGUGACAAGGUUACAGACCAAUUAAGGAGAGACAUGGUGGUACCGUGUCCCCAUUGCGCGAUCCCCCUCGAACGAGCCUUUGCGUAAUGUCUUUAUUUACAAACCAUAUGCGAACCAUAUAGCAAUUUCACCAAUCAGGCCACUGAUGCCUGACACCGGGUAAGGCCGAGGGUACGUUCCGCGUGUCUUUAGCUAAAUUUACACCUUUUAGUUUUCGAUGACCAUCGCGGGUCAUUCAUUGAAAAACACUGUUUUUGUACAAAGUGACCAUGAAUUGAGCUGGUAGAGUGUACUAUAGCUUUUAUUUUUCACAUUCACUGUGGAUGAGUCAUUUACGAUAAUCCUUCAAAAUGGUAGGUGUAUUGGUAGGUAAAUUCGGCUUGAAUCGUCGAUCGAACCGUAAUCAUUGAUAAGCGACCAUGAUCUGGACCGUUCCCCAUGUAAAGUGAAGUAAGUCCAUAGAAACUUGUAACCUUACAGAAUUUUUCAAGAAUGAUGCCACCUCUUUAUGAAUCGUAAAAUUAACGGUACAUUGUGAACUUUCAGAGAAAGGAAAAGGAAAGGAAUGGAGGUGAUGCCGUAGAAGAGAAAAAUUAAAAUUUCAGAUGAACAAGUUUCCAAUAAACAAACAUUUAAUGUAAAAAUAGUAUGAUUAUUCAUCCAGAUCUCGUCAACGCAUCGAUUGUCACGCGAAUUUUAUAUUUAUAUCAUUAUAUUAUAAUAAAUAUAUUAUAUCAUAACAUUUAAUUUUUGUAAAAUAUCAAUUGUAUUUGCGCACUGUUUUUUUAUAUUGUUAUCUAAAUCAUUGACACAAUUGAAAAUUAGUCAAUCCAUGAAAUUUAUCUUAUUUUAAUCAUUCUUAAAAAUUUAGUAACUUAGGUCACCUGUUAACAUCGCUAUAGUCAACAUGUAAAACCGGAUCAAUCUCGAUCAAUCUGGAUUAUCGAGAUCGAACGAUCCAAAUCCGGAUUAUCGAGUUCCGCGUUCAUUUUAUUAAUUAUGGAAAAAGGAGAAAUGAAAUUUCAUUGAUGUAAUUAUAAUUUGUAGGAAAUUAUCCGGAUUAGCGAUACUCGAUUGCGCAUGAUGUCAGACUGCGAUUAAUGUGCAAACGCAUUUCGAUCGGACGUCUCGACAAAGUAUUUGUUACACAAACAUAAUCUUCUAUUAAACAAACUUGCGAUUCAAAUAUAAUAUUUAGAUAACAAGUCAAGCAAUUAUUAUACAUGCAGUUAUAGACAACUUGACAUGAAUUAAUCAAGAAUUUCAGCGGCGAUCCUUUGUACACAAUGUUUGUUGCACUACCGGAGUAUAUUGCAUAUGUGUUACGUAGAUAUAUGAGCAUCGAUGGCUAUUUUUCGAUCCUUGAAAUCUAUAUUUUCACUUUUAUAACCGUCGUCAUAAAAAGGGAACAAUAACGACGUAACGAGAACGAGUUAUAAAAACACAAAAAAUGAACUCAACACAGUGGAAUGGAAACAAUAGUAAAUAAUCGAAACGUCUCGAAAACAAUUUACGUGUGAACAGCGGAUACGUAUCCUUAGUUGGAGUAUCAAUUAUUACACAUGUAGCCAGGUAUGCGGAUUGAAAGUAUGUACUAAUGAAGGAGAAAGGAGUUUUUUUUGUAUCUGCACUACACAACUACAGAGUAAAUGAAAAUCAUGUACGUAACAAACGCUAUACACGUAAAUACGGAUCACGUAACCUCUCACGUAUAAUCUUUCUAAAAAUUCUUUUCUUUUAAAGAAGUACUGUCUUGAUAAAUAGCCAGCGUAUCUUCGAUCCUUCUUAGUGUUACUGUCUCACUUCAUUCCUAUCUCAGACCACGUAGCAGAAUUCUUGUAAGCCAUUACUGGCAUGGACCAGAUUCAGUCCUAAUCCAUGAUCAGUUAAAAAAUCAAUACUAUAUCUUCUAAAACCUAUAUUUUUGAAAGUUGCUGAUAUCUUUUAAAUCUUAUGUUCGAUAAACUGAUAAAAUAAAUUAGUGACAUUCCGAUCAAACAAAUAAAUUACUUGAAUUAUCAAUCAAAUUAUUAACUUGUUAUAUAACUGAAUAAUAAAAAUUGAAAGAUUGCAGUUGAGAACAGGUGACAUUUGGUCUUCUUAUCAUAUCGCUCCCUUUGCAAACUUGGAUAAGAGAUCUAAGAAUAAUAUAUCGUCGUUCUUAAUCGUACAAUUAUGAUUAAAAAUAAAUCUGCAUUUUUUAUUGCAAA